rnacentral:rRNA from 1 species
CCACGGCGCCUUGAUUGCGACCCCAG